AUGAGGGAGCAUGCACCAUCCGUUAUAUUUAUGGAUGAAAUAGACUCUAUUGGAUCUGCUACGAUGGAGUCAGGAUCUGGCAACGGUGAUAGUGAGGUUCAACGUACUAUGCUUAAGCUUCUGAACCAACUUGAUGCUUUUGAAGCAUCGAACAAAAUUAAGGUUCUUAUGGCAACGAAUAGGAUAGACAUAUUGGACCAAGCUCUUCUGAGGCCUGGUCGUAUUGAUAGGAAGAUCGAAUUUCCAAAUCCUAAUGCAGAUUCCCGUGAUGAUAUUUUGAAGAUUCAUUCGAGGAAAAUGAACUUGAUGCCUGGCAUUGAUCUGAAAAAAAUUGCUGAGAAGAUGAACGGAGCAUCAGGAGCAGAGCUAAAGGGACGCCUGAAUGGCGUGCAAAAACCAUCCCAAUAUUCUACCACAUAG
rnacentral:rRNA from 1 species